rnacentral:lncRNA from 1 species
GAAAAAAGUAAAAUAGCAAAAAGUGCAGUUGAUGUGACAAUUAAUCAUCUGCUUAAUUAUUCUGAUUUUUAAAGGUGCGCCGCAUCCCCAUGUAUGCACAGAACAUGCUGUUACAGCUUUAUAAAAGAGAGCGUGCACAGAGUUACUUUACAUUUUCUGAGGUUUGCAUUCAUCAGAAACAUCCAAUAUGCAUGUUCUUAAAGUCGCAGUGCUCCUUGUAGCAGUUCUUGCUGCAGUGUUCGGAACAAGCAUGGCCAAGGGUCAUGGUGGUGGUCACGGUCAUGGAGGUGGAAAGGGUCAUGGUGGUGGCCAUGGGGGUAAAGGACAUGGAGGACAUGGUGGCGGACACGGGGGCAAGGGCCACGGAGGCCAUGGCGGUGGACAUGGGGGCAAAGGGCAUGGAGGCGGCCAUGGAGGAAAGGGGCACCAUGGAUAAACCAUGUAGAUGAAAGGCGUGUGACAAUGCAGCUUCUACAUGUCAUUCCACUGCUGCUGGACAACGGGGAAACAACUCAGAGAAAACAUGAUGAUAUUGUAUUUUGUUUGAUAAGACCUCCGAAUAAAAAUACACCCCGAGGUGUUGAAUCUAACAAGA